rnacentral:rRNA from 1 species
AGCAGCCGCGGUAAUUCCAGCUCCAAUAGCGUAUAUUAAAGUUGUUGCAGUUAAAAAGCUCGUAGUUGAACUUCGGGGUCUACCCAUUGGUCAGGCUUAAUUGUCUGCACUGGUGAGAUGGAUCUCUACCUUCUGAGGAACUUUCAUGCCAUUUAUUUGGUGUGAUGGGAAAUCAGGACUGUUACUUUGAAAAAAUUAGAGUGUUUAAAGCAGACUAUCGUCUGAAUACAUUAGCAUGGAAUAAUGAAAUAGGACGGACUGAUUCUAUUUCGUUGGUUUCUAGGAUCACCGUAAUGAUUAAUAGGGAUAGUUGGGGGCAUUAGUAUUCAAUUGUCAGAGGUGAAAUUCUUGGAUUUAUUGAAGACUAACUACUGCGAAAGCAAUUUGCCAAGGAUGUUUUCAUUAAUCAAGAACGAAAGUUAGGGGAUCGAAGACGAAUCAGAUACCGUCGUAGCUUAACCAUAAACUAUGCCGACUAGGGAUCGGACGAAGUAAUUUUAUAAAUGU